AACGGAACUUCCGUUAAUUGAUUAUGACGUACUUGUACUGAUUGAGAUUUUAACACGAAGUGAGUGGCGAACGGGUGAGUAACACGUGGGUAACCUGCCCAGAAGUAGGGGAUAACACCUGGAAACAGAUGCUAAUACCGUAUAACAGAGAAAACCGCAUGGUUUUCUUUUAAAAGAUGGCUCUGCUAUCACUUCUGGAUGGACCCGCGGCGUAUUAGCUAGUUGGUGAGGUAAAGGCUCACCAAGGCAGUGAUACGUAGCCGACCUGAGAGGGUAAUCGGCCACAUUGGGACUGAGACACGGCCCAGACUCCUACGGGAGGCAGCAGUAGGGAAUCUUCCACAAUGGACGCAAGUCUGAUGGAGCAACGCCGCGUGAGUGAAGAAGGGUUUCGGCUCGUAAAGCUCUGUUGUUAAAGAAGAACGUGGGUAAGAGUAACUGUUUACCCAGUGACGGUAUUUAACCAGAAAGCCACGGCUAACUACGUGCCAGCAGCCGCGGUAAUACGUAGGUGGCAAGCGUUAUCCGGAUUUAUUGGGCGUAAAGCGAGCGCAGGCGGUCUUUUAAGUCUAAUGUGAAAGCCUUCGGCUCAACCGAAGAAGUGCAUUGGAAACUGGGAGACUUGAGUGCAGAAGAGGACAGUGGAACUCCAUGUGUAGCGGUGAAAUGCGUAGAUAUAUGGAAGAACACCAGUGGCGAAGGCGGCUGUCUGGUCUGCAACUGACGCUGAGGCUCGAAAGCAUGGGUAGCGAACAGGAUUAGAUACCCUGGUAGUCCAUGCCGUAAACGAUGAUUACUAAGUGUUGGAGGGUUUCCGCCCUUCAGUGCUGCAGCUAACGCAUUAAGUAAUCCGCCUGGGGAGUACGACCGCAAGGUUGAAACUCAAAAGAAUUGACGGGGGCCCGCACAAGCGGUGGAGCAUGUGGUUUAAUUCGAAGCUACGCGAAGAACCUUACCAGGUCUUGACAUCUUCUGACAGUCUAAGAGAUUAGAGGUUCCCUUCGGGGACAGAAUGACAGGUGGUGCAUGGUUGUCGUCAGCUCGUGUCGUGAGAUGUUGGGUUAAGUCCCGCAACGAGCGCAACCCUUAUUACUAGUUGCCAGCAUUAAGUUGGGCACUCUAGUGAGACUGCCGGUGACAAACCGGAGGAAGGUGGGGACGACGUCAAAUCAUCAUGCCCCUUAUGACCUGGGCUACACACGUGCUACAAUGGAUGGUACAACGAGUCGCGAGACCGCGAGGUUAAGCUAAUCUCUUAAAACCAUUCUCAGUUCGGACUGUAGGCUGCAACUCGCCUACACGAAGUCGGAAUCGCUAGUAAUCGCGGAUCAGCAUGCCGCGGUGAAUACGUUCCCGGGCCUUGUACACACCGCCCGUCACACCAUGAGAGUUUGUAACACCCAA
rnacentral:rRNA from 1 species